GCCCCGGUAGCUCAAUGGUAAAGCCUAGCAACAACUAGCAGGUGAUCGCAGGUUCAAUCCUGCCCGGUGGCU